rnacentral:rRNA from 1 species
UACGUAGGGGGCAAGCGUUGUCCGGAAUCAUUGGGCGUAAAGAGCGUGUAGGCGGCCCGAUAAGUCCGCUGUGAAAGUCCAGGGCUCAACCCUGGGAUGCCGGUGGAUACUGUCGGGCUCGAGUCCGGAAGAGGAGUGUGGAAUUCCUGGUGUAGCGGUGAAAUGCGCAGAUAUCAGGAGGAACACCAAUGGCGAAGGCAGUGUCCUGGCUGGUGACUGACGCUGAGGUGCGAAAGCUAGGGGAGCGAACGGG